AGUGACGAGUGAGUGGUUGAAGAAAGUGGAGCGGAUUCGCUCACAGGAAGGACACUGCACCACCCGCUCCAGCACGGGUGGCCCUUGAGGACGGUGUGCGGAGGGAGGGGAGCGGGUCACAAGAGGGCGAGGGCCGUGUGAUUCCUCCCACGAGGGGACCGAGAGUCGCCAGCCUCAGAGGCAGGAAGCAGGACAGAGGCGAGUCGUUAUGGUGGAGAGAAUGAGACAGGGUUUCACUCCGGGAAGAGGAAAAGUUCUGCGGACGGACAGCGGUGGUGGUUGCCCGGCAGCGUGAAAGCACCUGAUGCCCCCGAACCGUUCACUUAAAGUGGUUAAAAUAGCAAAUUUUGUGGGCGCCUGGGGGGCUCAGUGGGUUGCGCGUCCGACUUCAGCUCAGGUCAUGAUCUCGCGGUUCGUGGGUUCCAGCCCCGCGUCGGGCUCUGUGCUGACGGCUCGGAGCCUGGAGCCCGCUUCGGAUUCUGUGUCUCCCUCUCUCUCUCUGCCCCUCCCCUGCUCACGCUCUGCCUCUGUCUGUCUCAAAAAUAAACAUUAACAAAAAUUUUUUUAACUAGUAAAUUUUGUGUUAUGUGUAUUUGACCUCAACAAAAAUUUUUUAAUCAACUUCACCUGUUUCUUUAUCUUUACGUGUACAUUUUUUUCUACUAGAAUAUUUAUACAUUUAAAUUUAUGUGCUGAUUAUGUUAUUAUUUAUUAAUUAUUUAUAAAGAUUCCACUAGCACAUUGAAGAUGACUGAUGUGACGAUUUAUGGCUCUUGGACAGCACUGGGCCAGAGGGAACCAGGUACUUAAUUGACAAACAUUUAGUGACCAGCUCUACACAAGGAAAUCCAGCAAACACUACCUCAGCCAAAUGAUCAAGGUUAACGCCACCGAUAAUAACAUAUACCGAUGUCGUGCCCCUGCUACGCGGCACAGAGGACGCACAUCACCUCCGAUCUACCGGUGAGAGCGACAGACCUGAACUCGAGGGCUUUCGACAAAAUACCUGACCCGUGUUCUUCAAAAGUGUCAAGUUCCGAAGGAAAAGGAAAGACUGAGGAGCUGUCAUAUCUUGGAAGGAAUUAAAGAGAAAAAGUUAAAUGCUUUGUGGCAAGGUGAGAUCUGACUCCGGUCCAGUUGAUAGCAUGGGGCAGAUGUUCCUUCUUACCCUUGGGGAACCGCCACGGCGAGGGGAGGUGUGGCCACAGGAGGCAAGUGGUUGAAGGUCAUACAACUACCGUCAUCUAUCUCCGCAACAUUUCUGUAAGCCUCAAAUUACAUCGAAAUUUACGAGUGGAUACAAAUAAAGGCACGCAGGUCAGACCCACUCGGGCCGCUCUCUGGCCACCGGCACAAAGCCCAACCUCGCCGGCUCUGUGCGCCCCCCGUCUCACCCCCAGUCUCCUGUCCAAGGCCAGCCAGAGUCAGGAGCACUCGGCCACCUCUGUCCCACUUUCUGGAGAGCCGAGAUGGGUUGUUUAUGUGGGGGGCAUGUAGAGAAGUCCUUACUAGGUUUUAUUAAAUGAGAAAAGGAGUGAGUGCUCAUUGCGUAAAGUCAAAGAAAGCACGUGAAUGAGAGAAACAGCAGUAAACAGUUCGCCUCCCCCAAUAUAUUCCCUCCCCAGAGGCGACCAGGUACCAGUGGGCGGCCAGCUUCCCUGUGCUUCUCCACGCUCUGCAAACGCAGGUGCACAGGUUCAUGUGGCUUCCUCUCCUACCUUUGCAAAGACACGGGGUCGUCUCCCAGGUGUUAUCCUGAAACUGGGCUUUCCUCACCCAACAAUGCCUCGUGGGCACUUCUUAGAAUUAUAGAUGUGUAACUCCUGCCCGUGUGCAAAUAGCUGCAGGAUAUUUCAACAUCCUACAUUAUGACUGCACUAGAGUCUAUCAGCCACGCUCCUACGGAUGGACUCACGCCAUUGCCAAUGUUGCCGCAGAAACAAUGAGUCCGUGUCUAUCGGCAGUCUCGUUUCUGAAGAAGAGUCCCUAAAUGGGAUGGCUAAGACAAAGGACGCAAACAUGGUUACUUUAAUAAACAUCCUCGGAUGACUCCGCAUAGUGGGUUUAGCGGUCACAUCCCCACCGGCGACGGAUGGACGGAUGGAGCCCCGUGUCUCAACCCCUCACGUGCCUUCGUGCACUCAGCAGGGCUUCAUUGUAAGGCCAAUGUGCCCCCUCCAUUAAAGUGUUUCUUUUGUUGUGUA